rnacentral:rRNA from 1 species
UACGGGGGGGCAAGCGUUGUUCGGAAUUACUGGGCGUAAAGGGCGCGUAGGCGGUUCGCUAAGUUGGGAUGUGAAAACUCUGGGCUUAACCCAGAGCCUGCAUCCAAAACUGGCGAACUGGAGUACUGGAGGGGAAAGCGGAAUUCCUGGUGUAGCGGUGAAAUGCGUAGAUAUCAGGAGGAACACCGGUGGCGAAGGCGGUGAUCUGGGCCGACACUGACGCUGGUAGAGCGAAAGCGUGGGGAGCGAACAGG